AGAGUUUGAUUCUGGCUCAGAACGAACGCUGGCGGCGUGGAUAAGACAUGCAAGUCGAGCGAUGAUUACGGGGUAGCAAUAUUCCGUAGUUGGAGCGGCGCAAGGGUGAGUAAUACGUGGGUAAUCUGCCAUGAAGUCUGGAAUAACUUGUUGAAAGACGAGCUAAUGCCGGAUGUGAAAAGCGGGAGGCAUCUCCUGGUUUUCAAAGCUGGGGACCGAAAGGCCUGGCGCUUCAUGAUGAGCCCGCGGCCUAUCAGCUAGUUGGUGAGGUAACGGCCCACCAAGGCUAAGACGGGUAGCUGGUCUGAGAGGACGACCAGCCACACUGGAACUGAGACACGGUCCAGACACCUACGGGUGGCAGCAGUCGAGAAUUUUUCACAAUGGGCGAAAGCCUGAUGGAGCGACGCCGCGUGGGGGAUGAAUGGCUUCGGCCCGUAAACCCCUGUCAUUCGCGAGCAAACGUUAUUAUUUAAAAGAUGAUAGCCUGAUAGUAGCGAAAGAGGAAGGGACGGCUAACUCUGUGCCAGCAGCCGCGGUAAUACAGAGGUCCCAAGCGUUGUUCGGAUUUACUGGGCGUAAAGGGUGCGUAGGUGGUGGGGUAAGUCGGAUGUGAAAUCUCCGAGCUCAACUCGGAAAGUGCAUUGGAAACUACCCUGCUCGAGGGUUGGAGGGGGGACUGGAAUACUUGGUGUAGCAGUGAAAUGCGUAGAUAUCAAGUGGAACACCAGUGGCGAAGGCGAGUCCCUGGACAACUCCUGACACUGAGGCACGAAAGCUAGGGGAGCAAACAGGAUUAGAUACCCUGGUAGUCCUAGCUGUAAACGGUGCACGUUUGCUGUAAAAGGAAUCGACCCCUUUUGUGGCGUAGCUAACGCGUUAAACGUGCCGCCUGGGGAGUACGGUCGCAAGAUUAAAACUCAAAGAAAUUGACGGGGGCCUGCACAAGCGGUGGAGUAUGUGGCUCAAUUCGAUGCAACGCGAAGAACCUUACCUGGCCUUGACAU
rnacentral:rRNA from 1 species